AGUGAACGCUGGCGGUAGGCCUAACACAUGCAAGUCGAACGGCAGCACAGUAAGAGCUUGCUCUUACGGGUGGCGAGUGGCGGACGGGUGAGGAAUACAUCGGAAUCUACUUUUUCGUGGGGGCUAACGUCGGGAAACUUACGCUAAUACCGCAUACGACCUACGGGUGAAAGCAGGGGAUCUUCGGACCUUGCGCGAUUGAAUGAGCCGAUGUCGGAUUCGCUAGUUGGCGGGGUAAAGGCCCACCAAGGCGACGAUCCGUAGCUGGUCUGAGAGGAUGAUCCGCCACACUGGAACUGAGACACGGUCCAGACUCCUACAGGAGGCAGCAGUGGGGAAUAUUGGACAAUGGGCGCAAGCCUGAUCCAGCCAUACCGCGUGGGUGAAGAAGGCCUUCGGGUUGUAAAGCCCUUUUGUUGGGAAAGAAAAGCAGCAGGUUAAUACCCCGCUGUUCUGACGGUACCCAAAGAAUAAGCACCGGCUAACUUCGUG
rnacentral:rRNA from 1 species